AAGUCGUAACAAGGUCUCCGUAGGUGAACCUGCGGAGGGAUCAUUAACACGUUUCUUUAAACAAACGUUUCCAACCAACCCGUGAACUUUCUAAAUUUUAUAUACCCCGACCUGGGAGUUGAGAGAAUCCUGUUUGAAUGUGCUUAGUGAUGGGCAUUUGGCUUGCUAAAUGCGAGCGCAUUCAAGCUGGGAAAGCGAAUAUGCAAAUAUUAGGACUUUCCAAGGCCUCUCUUCUUUCGGGCUAAUUCUUUACCAUUACUUUCCUUCAUUCACUGGAAGUAAUGGCAAAACCCAAACCCCUUUCACCCCUUUAUAACCACUUGACUGAUAACUUAUUUUGUGAAAACAAAAUGAAACUUAAUCAAAAUAUCUAAAGCACAACUCUUAGCAACGGAUAUCUUGGUUCUC
rnacentral:misc_RNA from 1 species